CAGGCUUAACACAUGCAAGUCGAGGGGCAGCAUGGUCUUAGCUUGCUAAGGCCGAUGGCGACCGGCGCACGGGUGAGUAACACGUAUCCAACCUGCCGUCUACUCUUGGACAGCCUUCUGAAAGGAAGAUUAAUACAAGAUGGCAUCAUGAGUCCGCAUGUUCACAUGAUUAAAGGUAUUCCGGUAGACGAUGGGGAUGCGUUCCAUUAGAUAGUAGGCGGGGUAACGGCCCACCUAGUCUUCGAUGGAUAGGGGUUCUGAGAGGAAGGUCCCCCACAUUGGAACUGAGACACGGUCCAAACUCCUACGGGAGGCAGCAGUGAGGAAUAUUGGUCAAUGGGCGAGAGCCUGAACCAGCCAAGUAGCGUGAAGGAUGACUGCCCUAUGGGUUGUAAACUUCUUUUAUAAAGGAAUAAAGUCGGGUAUGGAUACCCGUUUGCAUGUACUUUAUGAAUAAGGAUCGGCUAACUCCGUGCCAGCAGCCGCGGUAAUACGGAGGAUCCGAGCGUUAUCCGGAUUUAUUGGGUUUAAAGGGAGCGUAGAUGGAUGUUUAAGUCAGUUGUGAAAGUUUGCGGCUCAACCGUAAAAUUGCAGUUGAUACUGGAUAUCUUGAGUGCAGUUGAGGCAGGCGGAAUUCGUGGUGUAGCGGUGAAAUGCUUAGAUAUCACGAAGAACUCCGAUUGCGAAGGCAGCCUGCUAAGCUGCAACUGACAUUGAGGCUCGAAAGUGUGGGUAUCAAACAGGAUUAGAUACCCUGGUAGUCCACACGGUAAACGAUGAAUACUCGCUGCUUGCGAUAUACUGCAAGCGGCCAAGCGAAAGCGUUAAGUAUUCCACCUGGGGAGUACGCCGGCAACGGUGAAACUCAAAGGAAUUGACGGGGGCCCGCACAAGCGGAGGAACAUGUGGUUUAAUUCGAUGAUACGCGAGGAACCUUACCCGGGCUUAAAUUGCAGAUGAAUUACGGUGAAAGCCGUAAGCCGCAAGGCAUCUGUGAAGGUGCUGCAUGGUUGUCGUCAGCUCGUGCCGUGAGGUGUCGGCUUAAGUGCCAUAACGAGCGCAACCCUUGUUGUCAGUUACUAACAGGUUCCGCUGAGGACUCUGACAAGACUGCCAUCGUAAGAUGUGAGGAAGGUGGGGAUGACGUCAAAUCAGCACGGCCCUUACGUCCGGGGCUACACACGUGUUACAAUGGGGGGUACAGAGGGCCGCUACCACGCGAGUGGAUGCCAAUCCCCAAAACCUCUCUCAGUUCGGACUGGAGUCUGCAACCCGACUCCACGAAGCUGGAUUCGCUAGUAAUCGCGCAUCAGCCACGGCGCGGUGAAUACGUUCCCGGGCCUUGUACACACCGCCCGUCAAGCCAUGGGAGCCGGGGGUACCUGAAGUGCGUAACCGCGAGGAGCGCCCUAGGGUAAAACUGGUGACUGGGGCUAAGUC
rnacentral:rRNA from 1 species